UACCAGCACCCCGAGUGGUCGGGACGAUUAUUGGGCCUAAAGCAUCCGUAGCCGGUCCUACAAGUCUUCCGUUAAAUCCACCUGCUCAACAGAUGGGCUGCGGAAGAUACUAUAGGGCUAGGAGGCGGGAGAGGCAAGCGGUACUCAGUGGGUAGGGGUAAAAUCCUCUGAUCCAUUGAAGACCACCAGUGGCGAAGGCGGCUUGCCAGAACGCGCUCGACGAUGAGGGAUGAAAGCUGGGGGAGCAAACCGG
rnacentral:rRNA from 1 species